UGAAGAAAAUCUAAAUAUCUCAUGAAACAAUGAAAGUGGUUUGAAUUUUAGAGCAGACUGUUUGAAAAGAGAUUCUUGGAAUCUUGCUUGUUCAAAAACCUUUCAGUGCCCUGUAUGUGGGAAAAUCUUGUCAAGAAAGCAGACUUUGAAGAUACACAUGCAGACUCAUUUACAAUGUAGAAGCACAUAUGCAUGUAAAUUCUGUGGUGUUGUAUUUACAUGGAAAGAAAACUUGUCAAGGCACAUCAAAAUUAAACAUAGAAUGUGCUGAUCACUUUAGUUCUUUGUGGUUUAGCCUUUUUUAUAUUCAUACCUUAGGUUCUGUUAGAUGAUGUAUAUGAAAUUCCUUCGCACCCAUAAGAAAACUGUGAUGAGUAUAUUAGCUGUAUAAGAGUAUUGUAAGUUGAAAAUAUGAUGUGGAAAUGUUCUGUUUGUGGGAAAGAUCUGUCAACAAAGUACUCAUUGGCACGACAUAUGCGCCGUCAUUUUGAAGAAACUCCUCAGUAUUCUUGUGAAUUUUGUGGUUUGCAAUUUUCAUGGAAAGAAAGUCUUAACUUUCAUACAAAGAAAAAACAUGGCAAUAUAAUACAAGCAGAUGGAUGUGGAAAUCAAGAGGCAAACUGAUUAUUAUAAGUUGUUCCUAUGCAUAUAUUUAUUAUUUUCACAGCUGUAGUUUAUUUAAAUAAUAAAUUGUGUUAAAGCAAGAAAUAAAAAAAUAUAUGGCUUGUUUAAAAUAUUGUACAUGAUACAGAUAUCUUUCACAUUUGCAAUUUUAAAUG